GACGUCACUAUUGUGAUUGACGCCAAGAGAAGCAGCGCGUGCUUCGAGCACAUGGAAGAAACAAACGGAUGCACGCAAUUCCUUUCCACUCGCAAUGGGAUUUUAAAAAUUCUCUUUUCGAAAAAAUGGAAUAUAGGUACUGUAUAUGGAAACCAGGGUACGGAGGUAUAGGAAAAGGGUGCCAAACUGUGCUCAUAAGUACAUAAUCAUGCGUAUAGCAAAUGGAACAGCAUAAAGCAUUACAAAGAAAAGGAAAGUGGAUGCUGAAAAUAGUGGCUUUCAAGAAAAGAUAAACUUUAAGUCGCAAUGCCUCGUUUGUGCACAAACGAUAUCAGUAUGCAAGAAAAUGUGAAUGUAAAAGAACACUAUAGUGAAAAUCCCAAGAAGUAUGGAACACAUUGCACAGACUAAUAACAAAGGACAUUGCAAGAUUCACAAAGAUGAGCACCUAAAGUGAAAUGCAGCACUGCUGCCAGUUGGCAGAAAAAAGAUGUUCAACGUAAAGAUAAAUGCAAGAAAUUCCCCACCCCAUUACUUCGUCCAGACUUGCCAUGCAUUGUCAGAGAGUGAAAUCUAAGAGGUUGAAGAGAAUCUGCAGAAGAAUACCCACAGGAAGUGGGAGGACCUGGGGGGUCCUUGGGUUACAACGUCUCGACAUACAACGUUUCGAUUUUACAACGCUCUCUUCCAUAAAAACUUAAAGCAAUUGAGACAUGGGAAGGAAUAAAGGUUGGUAUCACUGGGAAGAUCGACAACAGAAGUUAUGAUGGAUGGUAAAGGUUCAAAUCUCCAAAUCUGUAAAGACUGCUAAGAUAAUUAAAAAAAUAUAUUUUUAUCAUUGUGCUGAAAUAGUUUGUUGUAUUUUAGAAAACAACUUGUUUCCUUUUUU